GGUAAGACCCUGCCUGGAAUACCAGGCUGAUACAUUUGUGCUGAUACUGUCUGAAUAUAUGUCUGGCUUUUGGAAAAUAAUAGUCACGACAGCUGAACUAUUAUCUGUCAUUCUAGCAGAGGACUUUGAAUGACGGACAGUGACUCAAAAUAAAUUUACCAUGGGAGGAGGUUGCAACACAGGGAUUGGACACUAUUGUUCAUCGUCAAAGCUAAUACUCCAGCUAGAAAAGAGGCUUAGCCUGGACAGACUGCCAAUUCAAUCCAUUCAAAACUUUGCCCAACCUCGAUUAGCACUACAGCUCAGUGUAUCAGGAAUGUAUGCAUUAACCACUUAGUUUCCCAAGGGAGACUCUUUUUAUGUCAUCUGAAAUAACAGGACAGGCUGUUCGGAAAUCGGGAGAAAAAAUGGCAUUGUCAUCAAUAACAAGGUAGUUUCAUCAUACACAAUGAACGAUCCAUAUCACCACUUAAAUAUUGGACAUUCUCACUCUAAAAGAAAUAUGGUGGCAUUGGUCAACACUUUGAACAGCUCUACAACACACCUUAACAUAUCAUGGAGUCCACAACUUGAUGCUUACCUUGAUUUUUCCAAAUGGGAUGUGUGGUUUAACAUCCUUGUUGGUCUUGGAACAACAUUCCCAUCAACUAAUCAGAUUUUAGGAUUAGGUUUAAGGCUGGGACUUACCAAACUGACGGUUGGCCGUUGACCAAUGUUGGCCAUCGGCGAGCGUCUGUCAGGCUAGUUUUUGUGGUGUGUUCCACACGUUGGUGGCAGUUUGCCCAAUUCGGCAUGUUAAACCGGUGUCAUGGGAACUGUGAUUGGAUAUUCAGAGUCAGUGCAUGAGAAUUAAAGCAAAAGUGAUGAAAACGAGCAAGUAAAUAGAGAUGGCACAGACAGAAGGCUGUUCUAAUGUUCUCUGGACCAUAACCACCAUAGACAUUGAGGGGGACAAGUAAACCUCCCCUGCCCACCCUCCAUGAACUGUAUAUAUCCAGAGUGAGGAAAAGGGCUCAAAAAAUCACUCUGGAUCCCUCACAUCCAAGCCAUCUCCUUUUUGAACUUUUACCGUCUGGCCGGCGCUACAGAGCACUGAACACCAGGACUGCCAGACAAGAAAUGUUUCCUUCCCCAGGCAAACUACCUCAUGAACAUUUAAAUGCUC